UACAGAGGGGGCAAGCGUUUGUUCGGAAUUACUGGGCGUAAAGCGCACGUAGGCGGACAUUUUAAGUCAGGGGUGAAAUCCCAGAGCUCAACUCUGGAACUGCCUUUGAUACUGGGUGUCUGGAGUAUGGAAGAGGUGAGUGGAAUUCCGAGUGUAGAGGUGAAAUUCGUAGAUAUUCGGAGGAACACCAGUGGCGAAGGCGGCUCACUGGUCCAUUACUGACGCUGAGGUGCGAAAGCGUGGGGAGCAAACAGGG
rnacentral:rRNA from 1 species